rnacentral:lncRNA from 1 species
CUGGGGUUGCCAAUCAGCUGAUGGUUGUUUCGCUUCUUUCAAGAAGAAAUCGCGCAUAGGCAAAAUGUAGUCCUGCUAGUGGCUCUGGGCUGACACCAAAGGCCUCAGCCCUUGGCGUUACAGCCCUGGACCCAGACGCCUCCAUGGAGGCCAGCCAGUUAAUGCCGCCUGUGAGCACCGCCGGCUGACUGCUGGCAGACUCAAAGGACCUUUGAGUACACACCACCUGAGAAGUACUCCUGAGAACAUUCCCAGGGCACCAGAAGGAACCUUUAUUUACACACGGCUCAGGCUGCAGCGCAGAACUCCCCGCACCAGAGCCAGCCUCCUGAACGCCGGGAGAUUCAACAGAGCGCUGCUUAUGUAGUAGUGCAGGCAUGUGAUUGGUCCGAAUUUCAGCCUGCUGAUUGGUCCAAACUGGUCUAAACGCAAGCCUUCUGGUCCAAGCCUACUGAUUGGUCCAAAUUCAAUCCUACUGCUUAGUUCAAGGCUGUGGUUAGGGCUGACACCCCUGGGGCGGGUGUGGGCAUCCCUGACAUCGCAGCAGUGGUUUGGUUUACACAGGCUGUUUGAUGGCAGGGGUGAACCUGGGGAACCUUCAGAGGAUUGGUUGUGUUAACCCCGGCUUCCUGGGGCUGGGGGAGCCCUCCCUCAUCUCUGCAGCGUUGGGGCGCAGAGGCUGCAGGAUCAGGAUUGGUGUGGGCGAGGAGGGAGGGGAAGGGGCCAUGCUGACAGCAGAGCUGCGCCUCCUGUCAGAGCGGCCUCAAGACCAGCCAUGAAGUAACCUGGGGACACUGAGCCAAGUUGUCCUUGUCCAUCCUGGGGUCAAGCUGAACUCCACUGCACUGACACGGAAAAGGGAAGGCAGGGCUGCUUCCCCUCAAGAGCCUUCACCUCAUGCCACCUGGAGGCCCUCUCCCGUGGGUCACCCACUCCCAAGGUGUUUCUGCUCUACUCCGUUCUGCAAAGAAACAGGAAGUGGCCGGUGCUGCACAGAGAGAGGUGCUGGCCAGGAGCCUAGAAUCUUCCCUCUGCUUUGGGAAGAAAUGUGAAGAUGGUCUGCGUUUGGAGCGAGCCCAGGGCGGAGGACGUUUGUCUGACAGCGUGGGCAGUUCAGCUCCUGCCCCAUCCUGCCAAGCAAUGGCCCAGGAACUGGCUGUCGGCAAAGGUGCUUUUGAGUGUUUAUGGGGUUGCCCUAAAGAGCUCAGUAUGCAGGGGCAGAGUGAGGCCUCUCAGCUGCUGCACCCCCCAGGGGUGGGACACAGGUGUCACGCUCGGCCACCGCCCAAGAAUGUGCAAAGGGGGUCAUCCUGNNNNNNNNNNNNNNNNNNNNNNNNNNNNNNNNNNNNNNNNNNNNNNNNNNNNNNNNNNNNUGUCGCUGCGACCUGUGCGAUUUUUGUUUGGGGACAUUUUUACUGUGCACGGAGCGGCAGGAACAGCACAGUGCUCCCCCAGGUAGCUGCCCACCCUACCCGACCAGUACUCCUCUCGCUUCCUGCUGGAUUAUUUCAAACCAAAUCCAGGCACUGUACCAUUUCCCAUAAACAAGCAUACAUCUCUAAAAUAUAAGAGCUAUUUUUACCACAUGAUAAUCGUUCCCACGCUUUAAAACAGUAAGCCCUCAAAAUCCUUGUAUAUGUGUGUGUCAGUAGGACCUUGUUGUCUCUGGAUUGUUUUACUCUUUUUGCUUAGAAUUCAAAUCCAGAUAAAAUCAAUGGACUGUCUGGUUAGUUACGCGUAAAGCUGACCUGCAGGCCGCCCUCCCCCUUUCUUUGUCUUUUCCUUGCAGUUUUGCUGCUGGAGGAACUGGCUCAGCAUGUUAAAGAGUUUUCCACACUGUCUGCAUUUGGCUGAAUUCGUUUUCUCUGACCUUGCGUGUUCUGUGAACUUGUGGUGAGAUGGAGACACAGUCCGAUUUCAGUUCGAGCCUUGGGGGAGGUCCUCACGGGCCAUGUGCUCCACCACCCGCGCCUGACGUCUGCUCACUCCCUUGUGUGCGCUGUGCAGCUGCUGGUGACACCUGUGCCCCACUGGGACUUGCAAGUGGCAACAGCAGAUCACACCACUCCUUUAUGUUUGUUUAGCCAACGUGCUCUACACAGAGAAACUCCUCCUUGUCCGCUAUUUGACUGACAUUCAGAUGUACAGGAAAGUGCCUCACUGCUUGCUCCUCUUCCUCUAUUUGCUGGUACUGUGUGGUGGCACAUGUCUGCAAUCCCAGUGCCGCAGGAGGCUGAAGCAGGCAGGAAGACCACAGGCGCAAGCCCACCCUGGGCUCCUAAUGGCUUAGUGAGGCCCUGGCUUAGAAUAACAAAAAGUAAAAGAGGCCUUGGCAUGCAGCUUGGCGCAAAGGCCUUGGGCUCAGCCCCCAGCACUGCACUACAGCAGCGACAACAACACAGCAACAAUGUGUCCUCUAGGCCCAACAAAUGUGAUCAAUGAAGUUUCCACCGAUACGAUUUUAAAUGCAGCAAACUAAAUUCAGGGGUUUUUUUCUGUUUUAAAAAGUUGAUAUAUUUAACAGCUGUGUUAAUAAAUUCAACCUUUACUAUUAUAGAACACUAUAACAACUGCUUAUCUAUAACAACUUCUAAAUAAGUAUUACUUGAAUUUUACUAAAAUAUUGGUAAUCAUAUACAUUGAAGACUAGAAGUGAUGUCAGAAAUAAUUUAGUACGGGCUGGGGAUUUAGCUCAGUGAUUCCAUCACCUGCCUCGCAAGCACAAGGUCCUGAGUUUGAUCCCCAGUACCAGAAAAACAAAAAAGAAAGAAAGAAAUAAUUUAGUACAAAAGCUUAUAGGUAAAAGACAUCAAGCCCCAAAGAAGCUAGAAGACCGCUACAGAAUAUACAGGGUUACACUAUGAGAGUCCAACUACCUAGUAAAGAAUGGUCAUAACUUCUGGAUUGUUACUGUUAAAGUUUGUUUUCUUUCUGCUACAUACUGCCUGGGAUGAAAUGUUAUGAAUUUCCCCCUGAAAUUUAAUAGUGCGAUUUGCAUUAAUAGCAAGAUAACAUCAGGAGAAAAUUAGUAAAAAUAAAUGACUUUUAUUCAAAUGAAAUAUUCUCAAUUCAGGAUUUUUAAAUACACCUGAUGGCUCGAUACAUGGUCACGGCAUUGUCACUGACGCGCCAGGCUCUGGUCGGCCA